rnacentral:rRNA from 1 species
UACGAAGGUCCCUAGCGUUGUUCGGAAUUAUUGGGCGUAAAGGCGCUUGAUAGGUGGCUUUGAAAGUCAGGUGUGAAAUCCCCGGGCUCAACCCGGGAAGUCGGCACUUGGAAACUCCUUGGCUUGAGUACGGUAGAGGUGAGUGGAAUACCUGGUGGUAGUGGGUGAAAUUCGUAGAUAUUCGCAAGAACACCAGUGGCGAAGGCGGCUCACUGGUCCGGUUCUGACGCUGAGGCGC